UCGUUCACCCAUUUUGGGCGCAGUUCGAGCUAUACCAGGGAACGGGGG
rnacentral:ncRNA from 1 species